rnacentral:rRNA from 1 species
CCCUUAGAUGUUCUGGGCCGCACGCGCGCUACACUGAUGCAUUCAACGAGUCUAAAACCUGCUCUGAUAGGGGUGGGUAAUCUUUUGAAUGUGCAUCGUGAUUGGGAUAGAUGAUUGAAAUUUUUCAUCUUCAACGAGGAAUGCCUAGUAAACGCAAGUCAUCAGCUUGCAUUGAUUACGUCCCUGCCCUUUGUACACACCGCCCGUCGCUCCUACCGAUUGAAUGAUCCGAUGAAUAUCAUGGAUUGAGGAUGCAAGUAGGUUCGCCUAUCUUCAUCUUCGAGAAGUGAAGUAAAUCUUAUCAUUUAGAGGAAGGAGAAGUCGUAACA